GGGAAGGUGGCUCAGUGGUAGAGUGCUUGCCUUGCAUGCAUGAGGCCCUGGGUUCGAUUUCUCCGUACCA
rnacentral:tRNA from 1 species